ACGCUGGCGGCACGCCUAACACAUGCAAGUCGAACGAAGUAGCAAUACUUAGUGGCAGACGGGUGAGUAACAUGUAGGUAUCUGCCCUUUGGCCUGGAAUAACACGAGGAAACUUGUGCUAAUACCGGAUAAGUCUUUACGGAGAAAGCUUUAUGCACCAUUGGAUGAGCCUGCACUUGAUUAGUUUGUUGGUGGGGUAAUGGCCUACCAAGACUGUGAUCAAUAGCUGAUUUGAGAGGAUGAUCAGCCACAUUGGGACUGAGACACGGCCCAAACUCCUACGGGAGGCAGCAGUGGGGAAUCUUGCACAAUGGAGGAAACUCUGAUGCAGCGAUGCCGCGUGAGUGAAGAAGGCCCUUGGGUUGUAAAGCUCUUUCGUCGGGGAAGAAAAUGACUGUACCCGAAUAAGAAGGUCCGGCUAACUUCGUGCCAGCAGCCGCGGUAAUACGAAGGGACCUAGCGUAGUUCGGAAUUACUGGGCUUAAAGAGUUCGUAGGUGGUUGAAAAAGUUAGUGGUGAAAUCCCAGAGCUUAACUCUGGAACUGCCAUUAAAACUUUUCAGCUAGAGUAUGAUAGAGGAAAGCAGAAUUUCUAGUGUAGAGGUGAAAUUCGUAGAUAUUAGAAAGAAUACCAAUUGCGAAGGCAGCUUUCUGGAUCAUUACUGACACUGAGGAACGAAAGCAUGGGUAGCGAAGAGGAUUAGAUACCCUCGUAGUCCAUGCCGUAAACGAUGUGUGUUAGACGUUGGAAAUUUAUUUUCAGUGUCGCAGGGAAACCGAUAAACACACCGCCUGGGGAGUACGACCGCAAGGUUAAAACUCAAAUGAAUUGACGGGGACCCGCACAAGUAGUGGAGCAUGUGGUUUAAUUCGAAGAUACGCGCAGAACCUUACCAACACUUGACAUGUUCGUCGCGACUCUAAGAGAUUAGAGUUUUCGGUUCGGCCGGACGAAACACAGGUGCUGCAUGGCUGUCGUCAGCUCGUGUCGUGAGAUGUUGGGUUAAGUCCCGCAACGAGCGCAACCCUCACUUUUAGUUGCCAUCAUUAAGUUGGGCACUCUGAAAGAACUGCCAGUGAUAAGCUGGAGGAAGGUGGGGAUGACGUCAAGUCCUCAUGGCCCUUACGUGUUGGGCUACACACGUGCUACAAUGGUAUCUACAACAGGAAGCAAGACUGCGAAGUUAAGCAAAUCCCUAAAAGAUACCUCAGUUCGGAUUGCACUCUGCAACUCGAGUGCAUGAAGCUGGAAUUACUAGUAAUCGUGGAUCAGCGUGCCACGGUGAAUGCGUUCCCGGGUCUUGUACACACCGCCCGUCACACCAUGGGAGUUGGUUCUACCUUAAGGCAAGGUUUCAAACCCUUGACCACGGUAUAGUCAGCGACUGGGGUGAAGUCGUAACAAGGUAGCCGUAGGGGAACCUGCGGCUGGAUUACCUCCUUUCU
rnacentral:rRNA from 1 species